rnacentral:rRNA from 1 species
UACAUAGGUCCCAAGCGUUAUCCGGAUUUACUGGGCGUAAAGAGUCUGUAGCCUGAUAUGUAAGUCUGUUUUCAAAUACUCCGACUCAAUCGGAGAAAGGGGAUAGAUACUGCAUAUCUGGAAGUUAUUGGGGGUUAGUGGAAUUUCCGGUGGAGCGGUGAAAUGCGUUGAUAUCGGAAAGAACGCCGAAAGUGAAAACAGCUAACUACAAUAAACUUGACGGUCAGAGACGAAAGCUUGGGGAGCAAACGGGAUUAGAUACC